ACCAACUACGUCCAUGCCAAGACGCUGAAAUGGUAUACCAAUGAUUGGGAGAGGUUGGAGUGGUGCUUUGAUGGGGACCCUUAUUGAAGUCUUCUGACAUUGAGGAGAACUUCUGCAAAACAUAGCAACAUCUGAGCGCAAGCCAGGCCAAAAAAAGUAUCGCUUAAUGCGAGCAGUGGUUUUAUACUUCCCCAGGUGGCCAGCCCAGGGAAUGGAGUGCCCCAAAGUACUGAAAAACCUAAAGGCAUAUCUGGAGCAACCUGAACUGAUGUCUUUCCAACAGUGUGUUGAAAUUUUUCACGUCUUCUUUGACUGCGUGGCUUCCGAGACUUCCCGGGUUCUGUCUCUAGUUCAGCCUCAAAGAAGGAUCAUAGAUGACUGGCAGAUCCUCCCCAAGAACUACAGGAUAGGGCAGACUAUCAGCUACACCAACCUUUAACAGAUAGGAUGUCCCCUGCACUUCAAUAAACAGAUCAGUA